GUCCAGGUUCAAAAGACGAGAAACUAAACAAGGAGAAGAUGAUCUGCAGGAUCCUGCUGCUCAUCAUCCUCAACUCAUGUCUCUGUGCAGCAACAUUUGUAGUGAAUGUGACACAGAGCUGCUAUCAGGCAGAGGAGAACCACAACAUCACUCUGGAGUGGACCUUCACCACCAGACCUCAUGGAUCCUGGAGACAACUUUU